rnacentral:rRNA from 1 species
GACGAACGCUGGCGGCGUGCUUAACACAUGCAAGUCGAACGGAAAGGCCCUGCUUUUGUGGGGUGCUCGAGUGGCGAACGGGUGAGUAACACGUGAGUAACCUGCCCUUGACUUUGGGAUAACUUCAGGAAACUGGGGCUAAUACCGGAUAGGAGCUCCUGCUGCAUGGUGGGGGUUGGAAAGUUUCGGCGGUUGGGGAUGGACUCGCGGCUUAUCAGCUUGUUGGUGGGGUAGUGGCUUACCAAGGCUUUGACGGGUAGCCGGCCUGAGAGGGUGACCGGCCACAGUGGGACUGAGAUACGGCCCAGACUUCUACGGAAGGGAGCAGUGGGGAAUAUUGCACAAUGGGCGGAUGCAUGAUGCAGCAACGCCGCGUGCGGGAUGACGGCCUUCGGGUUGUAAACCGCUUUCGCCUGUGACGAAGCGUGAGUUACGGUAAUGGGUAAAGAAGCACCGGCUAACUACGUG